GAUUAGAGUUUGAUCAUGGCUCAGGAUGAAUGCUGGCGGCGUGCCUAACACAUGCAAGUCGAGCGGUAACAGGUCUAGUUUACUAGAUGCUGACGAGCGGCGGACGGCUGAGUAACGCGUGGGAACGUGCCCCAAAGUGAGGGAUAAGCAUCGGAAACGAUGUCUAAUACCGCAUAUGGUCUUCGGAUUAAAGGAUUUAUCCGCUUUGGGAGCGGCCCGCGUUAGAUUAGGUAGUUGGUAGGGUAAUGGCCUACCAAGCCUACGAUCUAUAGCUGGUCUGAGAGGAUGAUCAGCCAGACCGGAACUGAGACACGGUCCAGACUCCUACGGGAGGCAGCAGUGAGGAAUCUUCCACAAUGGGCGAAAGCCUGAUGGAGCAACGCCGCGUGAAGGAUGAAGGCCCUAGGGUCGUAAACUUCUUUUAUAAGUGAAGAAUAUGACGGUAACUUAUGAAUAAGCACCGGCUAACUACGUGCCAGCAGCCGCGGUCAUACGUAGGGUGCAAGCAUUAUCCGGAGUGACUGGGCGUAAAGAGUUGCGUAGGCGGUUAGUAAAGUGAAUAGUGAAACCUGGUGGCUCAACCAUACAGACUAUUAUUCAAACUCACUAACUCGAGAAUGGUAGAGGUAAUUGGAAUUUCUUGUGUAGGAGUGAAAUCCGUAGAUAUAAGAAGGAACACCAAUGGCGUAGGCAGAUUACUGGACCAUUUCUGACGCUGAGGCACGAAAGCGUGGGGAGCGAACCGGAUUAGAUACCCGGGUAGUCCACGCCGUAAACGAUGGAUACUAGCUGUUGGAGGUAUCGACCCCUUCAGUAGCGAAGCUAACGCGUUAAGUAUCCCGCCUGUGGAG
rnacentral:rRNA from 1 species